rnacentral:lncRNA from 1 species
UCAUGAUAUGAUAAGAUCUAUAUGUGAACACAUUAUUGUAUGUGUUCAAUUUACGUUUAUUCAUAAGAUCUAUAUGUGAACACAUUAUUGUAUGUGUUCAAUUUACGUUUAUUCAUGUUUUAACUUACAUGUGGUAUCAGAGCCUUGUUGCUCAUUUUUGUGAUUCUCCAUUAAUGUUUUUUUUUCAAAAUUCAAAGAACCCUAAUUUUAUAGAUAUUCCCAAUUUUUUUUAAGAAUCCUAAUUUAAAAUUAGGUUUAUAAAUUAAGGUUUUCAUUCCUCUAUAAUAAUUCCCUAAUUGUCCUAAGCCGUCAAUAUUAGAGAACCCUAAUUUUAAUUAAUCCCAAUUGAAGAACCCUAAUUUUAAAAUUAGGGUUUAUGCAUCAAUGUCAUUAACGACGUAAAAACCUAUGAACCUAUAAGUGGGACUGCAAGCCUUCGCCGCUGUCAUCCUGCGUUUUUCCGUCACCACCCAUAACUGCAGCGGUGCUAGUGGCACACGCGGUGCGGUGGCAGCAUGGUGGCACACGCGGUGCCGUUGCGCUUGCGGCGUAUCUUCGUUUUCUGACCUCCGCGCCCAGCGAUGGUUCACGCGGUGGGGCGCGACGACGUGUUGCGCAGCGCGAGCGGUGGUCGCUGGACCUUGUUCGCGCGCAGUGGCGUCGGGGUUGGAGAGAAAGAGCGACUGCGUCGCGCGGUGGUUCGGAGCGAGCGUUCGCAUAAAGGUCGGCAAUGCGCGGUGGUCCUUGGCUGGUAGUUGCCGCAUGAUGCGUGGUGACUGUGAUUGGUGUUUAGGAUUUCAUGAUAAAGUGAAAGGUGGUGGCUGUGAUUGAUUUUUAGGGUUUCAUGAAAGGGAAUUGUAUUAUAAUAUAAAAUAAUGAAACAAUAUAUAAAUAAAUAAAAAUGGGUGGACCGUGUACGAGUAAGUCUAUGCACCUAACAUCUAACCACCAAGUAUUGUGGGUAUAUAGGAUUUAAGAAAACCAUAUUGAUUCAGGAACCAUCGUAA